rnacentral:rRNA from 1 species
CCUACGGGGCGCAGCAGUGAGGAAUAUUGGUCAAUGGACGCAAGUCUGAACCAGCCAUGCCGCGUGCAGGAAGACGGCUCUAUGAGUUGUAAACUGCUUUUUUACGAGGGUAAACGCAUAUACGCGUAUCUGUCUGAAAGUAUCGUACGAAUAAGGAUCGGCUAACUCCGUGCCAGCAGCCGCGGUAAUACGGAGGAUUCAAGCGUUAUCCGGAUUUAUUGGGUUUAAAGGGUGCGUAGGCGGUCGGAUAAGUUAGAUGUGAAAUCCCGAGGCUCAACUUCGGAAUUGCCUCUGAUACUGGUCGGCUAGAGAGUAGUUGAGGUAGGCGGAAGGUAAGGUGUAGCGGUGAAAUGCUUAGAGAUAAUACAGAACACCGAUUGCGAAGGCAGCUUACUAAGCUACUUCUGACGUUGAGGUACGAAAGCGUGGGGAGCAAACAGGAUUAGAUACCCCUGUAGUC